CCUACGGGAGGCAGCAGUGAGGAAUAUUGCCCAAUGGACGAAAGUCUGAGGCAGCAACGCCGCGUGAGCGAUGAAGGCCUUCGGGUUGUAAAGCUCUUUUCUGGGGGACGAGGAAGGACGGUACCUCAGGAAUAAGUCACGGCUAACUACGUGCCAGCAGCCGCGGUAAUACGUAGGUGGCGAGCGUUAUCCGGAUUUACUGGGCGUAAAGCGCGUGUAGGCGGUUUCGUAAGUCGGAUGUGAAAGCUCCUGGCUCAACUGGGAGAGGCCAUUCGAUACUGCGGGACUUGAGGUCGGGAGAGGGACGUGGAAUUCCCGGUGUAGUGGUGGAAUGCGUAGAUAUCGGGAGGAACACCAGUGGCGAAGGCGGCGUCCUGGCCCGCACCUGACGCUAAGACGCGAAAGCGUGGGUAGCGAACGGGAUUAGAUACCCCGGUAGUCCACGCCGUAAACGGUGGAUACUAGGUGUUGGUGACUAUCGUCAUCAGUGCCGUAGCUAACGCGUUAAGUAUCCCGCCUGGGGACUACGGCCGCAAGGCUAAAACUCAAAGGAAUUGACGG
rnacentral:rRNA from 1 species